UAAAUUUCAAAUACCCUAAUCUCCCAAAUCUUACAUUAACAAACCCUAAUCUCAGCUUUAGAAAGCCUCCACCAGCUCCAUCGGGUCGAUUGAAAGAAAGUGUGGCCUUGAGGGGCAUAAUGGCAGGACUUGUGUAAGACAUGCUGCAGACGCCACUACUGAACCAAUGAGUGCUCAACUACUACUAACAUAAUACCUGAGGUUGUUGGUGGAGCUUUGAGGUCUAUAGGUGCUGUUGCAGGGGUUAGGUCAAAUGUUAGAGGAACAACGUCAAUGAACAAAGAGUGAAGAUGCAGGUGUAGUAGUUGAGGGCUGUUGGAUGACUUAAGUGGUUGCUUUUGUAUUCUUAGUGAGUUUUUGUUGAUGUAUGCUUAAUGAUCUGGGAUCGUGCUUCUGCUGAAGACUGUUUUAAUGAUUUGAGACUGUUAUGUUUGAUGUAAUUCAAUGAUGUAUUGUGUAA